rnacentral:rRNA from 1 species
GAUGAACGCUGGCGGAGUGCCUAACACAUGCAAGUCGAGCGGCAGCGCGAGUAGUUUACUACUUGGCGGCGAGCGGCGGACGGCUGAGUAACGCGUGGAACAUGCCCCAAAGUGAGGAAUAACUGCCCGAAAGGGUAGCUAAUGCCGCAUACGAUCUUCGGAUUAAAGGAUUUUAUCCGCUUUGGGAGUGGCCUGCGUACGAUUAGAUAGUUGGUGAGGUAAUGGCUCACCAAGUCUACGAUCGUUAACUGGUUUGAGAGGAUGAUCAGUCAGACUGGAACUGAGACACGGUCCAGACUCCUACGGGAGGCAGCAGUGAGGAAUCUUCCACAAUGGACGAAAGUCUGAUGGAGCAACUCCGCGUGCAGGAUGAAGGCCUUGGGUCGUAAACUGCUUUAUGAGUGAAGAAUAUGACGGUAACUCAUGAAUAAGGGUCGGCUAACUACGUGCCAGCAGCCGCGGUAAU